rnacentral:rRNA from 1 species
GGCGCCCUAGGGGCGCAGCAGUAGGGAAUCUUCCACAAUGGGCGAAAGCCUGAUGGAGCAACGCCGCGUGGGUGAAGAAGGUCUUCGGAUCGUAAAACCCUGUUGUUAGAGAAGAAAGUGCGUGAGAGUAACUGUUCACGUUUCGACGGUAUCUAACCAGAAAGCCACGGCUAACUACGUGCCAGCAGCCGCGGUAAUACGUAGAUGGCAAGCGUUAUCCGGAUUUAUUGGGCGUAAAGGGAACGCAGGCGGU